UGUCCUCCAUUGGAGGUCUAUAUUGAGCAGAUUCUUUUUGGUGUUGGGUGGUGGAACCAGAGCUUGCUCCAUCCACUCCAUGCAUUGACCUGGUAUUCCAGUUCUUCCAGGACUGGUGC
rnacentral:snRNA from 1 species